GCUCCUGAAGAGCGGGAAUAAGUACAUUAUAUAAUAACUAAUAGUAGUAGUAGCAGCAGUAGCAAAUGCUACUCUUUAUUGAACACACGACAUGCCAGGCUGUGUUCUAAGGACUUUACACUCAUUAUUCAGUUCUCACUCAACUCUGUGAAUCAGGUGUUGGAAUCACCCCAUUUUGCAGAUGCAGAAGCCUCUCAGUUUGGCUGAGCUGAAAUUCAACCCCUGGUAUUAAUAUUUUAAUAACUAUAGUUCAGCUUGAAUCCUUUCCUCCAUAAUCUCAUUUUUUUUUUUUUUUUUUUUUUUUAGAUUUUAAGACAUUCUCAGAAGGGGUCUAUGGGCUUCCCCAGAUUCCAAAGGAGUCCAUAGUGGAGGCAGAUGCCUGGAUUCCAGAGGCAGGACCCAGAGGUUCUGGCUGGUACAGGAUAUGGGGUGUGUACCAGAUUCUAUGCCAGUCAAUCAAGAAUCACGAAGCACCCAGUGUGUGCUUGGAGCUUCAAGGAAUGCAGAAAUUAUACAGGCUCCCUAGGGAGCUUACAUUCUAGUGGGGGAGGCAGGCCUGGAAGCAAUGAACUAUUACCUACAGUGGAAAGAAGGCAGUGCAAGUGGAGAUGUUCUAUUCUGGGGCUAUAGAGGAAGGAGGAAGGAGGAAGGCUUCCUGCACAGGGUUGUGCGCCAGACUUCACAGAGGAAGGGGCUCCAUUUGAACUGGGCUUUGGUGCAUGGGGAAGACCAUCCAUGGGUUGAAGGACAAGCAUGUGCAAAUGCAGGGGGCUAGAAUGGGAGCACCCCACCGAGCCCAGUGUGAGCUAUGGAGCAAGGGGUCCAGUGCUGUCUCUCCCCACAUCUCCUGCCUUGGAAUCCAGAAGAGUCCCUGGAAACUGUAUUUUUAACAAGCUCCCUAAGUGAUUCCAACAUGCAGGGAUUAAGUGCUAUGUGUUGAGAAAAAAAAAUGGAUGGGUACAAAAAUGAACUUGACCUCAGAAAGUCCUUUCCUCGCUCAAGAUGUCUUCUCUUCUUUAAAAUAAAGGCACUGGGUCACCCUGGUGGUUUUCA
rnacentral:lncRNA from 1 species